rnacentral:rRNA from 1 species
CCUACGGGUGGCAGCAGUGGGGAAUAUUGCACAAUGAGGGAAACCCUGAUGCAGCGACGCCGCGUGCGUGAAGAAGUACUUCGUUAUGUAAAGCUCUAUCAGCAGGGAAGAAAAUGACGGUACCUGAGUAAUAAGCCCCGGCUAACUACGUGCCAGCAGCCGCGGUCAAACGUAGGGUGGGAGCGUUCUCCGGUUUUACUGGGUGUAAAGGGAGCGUAGACGGGAGUGCAAGUCUGGUGGGAAAGGCGGGGGCUCAACCCCCGGGUUGCUCUGGAUACUGUACGGCUGGAGUGCGGGAGAGGUAAGUGGAAUUCCUAGUGUAGCAGUGAAAUGCGUAGAUAUUAGGAGGAACACCAGUGGCGAAGGCGGCUUACUGGA